GCUUGCAUUAAACGUAUAAACUGUUAAAUUAGAUGGCGACUCUGCAUUAAACGUAUUUAUUUAAUUAAUCGGCGAUCAUAUUUCACCAGAGGACUAAGAUAAAACAACUCGAUUUAAAAUAUGAGCAGUUUUAGUGGAUCUGACGUCGAGGGAAAAAGUAUUUCGCUUUUUGUUUGGAGAUGAACGAGACAACACGAGGGUAAGUGAUGACAGAUUUUCACAUUUCUUUAUUUAGUUAACUAUUAAAUAAGUAAAACAUUACAUUACAUUUAACCCAGCUUCUUUAUGUAACGUUAUGUCUGUGUUGCGUGUGGUAAUUGGAACAUCUUUAUUUUCUGACUAACGUUAGGCAUUUCUCUUAAGCAUUUCAGAAAUCAUUAAAACCUUUCUUUUUUUUUAGCACAGCGACAUAAAUAUGACCAACCAGAUCCCAAGUAGACAGGAACAAAUGAAGAUAUAGCGCAUAGAAAGACUUAUUCUUGGUGAUCAACUGCUAUUGACAUUUUUGAAUCGGGGCAAAUGUGGAGUGAAGAAAAACGUUUGCAACACAUCCAUUCCAGAGUGCUCUGACAGAUAAAACUGACACGCUUGAUGAGGACACAGUCAAAGCUUUAAAAGCCCGUGUGAUAAAGCAGUCUUCAAUUACUACGGUGUCUGAAUUGCAAGAAGAAGUCACCCUCCACUUAAACAUGUGACAUCUAAACUGUUUUGUGUUUUAGUUCAGCUUUUUAUAGGUUUAUCUUAAGUUGGAUAAAGGCAGAGUGCACUAUUUUUGAAAGCCAAUGUUAACAUUUGAAAUUACCUAAACAAACAUGCCUCUACCCCAAUAGAAUCUGGACCUUCUUUUGAUAGAGCCACCACACACAUACGCAACCCCGGCAAGGAUGUCGGUUAGUAGACACGCCCCUUACUGCUGGUUGGCUACAAGUGUGUUUUGGUAGUCGGCCCAAUUUCCUUUUCCAAAGCGUUUUUCAAACAUUGUGCACUCCGUCUUUAAAUUGCACUUAAACAUUUUUUUUUCAUUAACUUUUUAUGCAGAUAAUUACAUUAUGAUUAUUAUAUAAUCAUUGCUUAUGAAUAUUUA